rnacentral:lncRNA from 1 species
CAAAUCCAUUUUUAUGUAAUUUAUCAUAAUUAGUAUUAUGAUAGCUUUUGGAUAUGUGUAAUGAACGGAAGUACACAAGCCAUAAUUUCACACCCCAGCUGAAAAGCCAUAUCAGGGGACUCUCGGAGAAUUUGCAACAACAUAGUGUUUUGCACAAAAGCCAGAAAAAAGGGGUAUUUUUUAAAAAUACUUUUGUUUGGGAGGGGAUUGAUUUGCAACAGCAUAGUGAAAUAUUGUUUUUUUUAGUAGGGGUGUGGGGACUUCGCUAAGCAUAGCGUAUUUUUCUGGGGGG